rnacentral:rRNA from 1 species
AAUGAACGUUGGCGGCGUGGAUUAGGCAUGCAAGUCGUGCGACAGGCCCGCAAGGGCGCUGAGCGGCGAAAGGGAGAGUAACGCGUAGGUUAUCUACCCUCAGGACCGGGAUAGCUACGGGAAACUGUGGGUAAUACCAGAUGAUGUCUCCGGACUAGAGGUGUGAUUCCGCCUGUGGAGGAGCCUGCGUCCUAUUAGCUAGUUGGUGGGGUAACGGCCUACCAAGGCUGAGAUGGGUACGGGGUAUGAGAGUAUGCCCCCGCUCACUGGGACUGAGACACUGCCCAGACACCUACGGGUGGCUGCAGUCGAGGAUCUUCGGCAAUGGGCGCAAGCCUGACCGAGCGACGCCGCGUGUGGGAUGAAGGCCUUCGGGUUGUAAACCACUGUCAGUGGGGAGGAAAUAUACGGGGGUUCUCCCUCGUAUUUGACCUAUCCGCAGAGGAAGUACGGGCUAGGUUCGUGCCAGCCGCCGCCGUAA